GCUGCCAGAUCGCGUCCGCCAUAUUGGCUGCCGCAGCUGCCGCCGCCAGAGCCGCCACCGCCACUGCCACCGCCGCCUUUGCCUCUUCCUCCUCCUCUACGGUCGCCGCCGCCGCCCUUUGCCGAUUCCUGUGUCCCGAGUGGUGGAGAGGAGAAGCGGGAGCCGGUCGGAGAAGGAGGAGGAGGUGGAAGGGGGUGGAGAGUGUGGGGAGAAGGAGGGAGCAGAGGGUGGAGAAGAGAGGCCGAGCGCGGGGCGGAGAAGAGCAGGAGCCGCGGCGGCUCGGCCCCUCCCCCGCCCGCCCCGGCUGCGCUUCUGUUCCCCAGCCCGGAGCUCUGCUCUUCCCAGCGGCCAUGCCGAGGCCUCGCCGUCCCUGAGGGAACCCGCCCCCUCUCCCCUCCCCCUCGAUUCCCACCCCGGCCCGCAGCGCCUUCGACCGCUCCCCGGCUCCCCUGGGCGGCCCCUGGCCCAGUCCCCUCUCUCUAGGCCGCCGCCGUCGCCUCUUCCGCCACCGGGCGCUGGGGCCUUAGCACCGACAACAUGGAGGCCGUGAAAACCUUCAACAGCGAACUCUAUUCCCUGAAUGACUACAAGCCACCUAUUUCCAAGGCUAAAAUGACACAGAUUACUAAGGCAGCCAUCAAAGCUAUUAAGUUCUAUAAACAUGUGGUACAGAGUGUUGAGAAAUUCAUUCAAAAGUGUAAACCAGAAUAUAAGGUACCUGGACUUUAUGUUAUUGAUUCCAUUGUACGACAAUCUCGACAUCAGUUCGGUCAAGAAAAGGAUGUGUUUGCACCCAGAUUUAGUAAUAACAUCAUUAGCACUUUUCAGAAUUUAUAUCGUUGUCCUGGUGAUGACAAGAGUAAAAUAGUCAGGGUUCUAAACUUAUGGCAGAAGAAUAAUGUGUUUAAGAGUGAAAUCAUUCAGCCUCUUCUUGAUAUGGCAGCAGGAAUUCCACCACCAGUUGUCACACCUGUUUUGCCAAGUACUGCAGCUUCCAUGAGCAACAAUACCCCAGGAACUCCUGUGACACCUGUUACUCCAGCCAAUGUGGUACAAGGUUUGCCUGACCCUUGGGUAUCUCAGAUAGCAAAUACAGAUACACUAGCUGCUGUGGCACAGAUUUUGCAGAGUCCUCAAGGCCAGCAGCUUCAACAAUUAAUACAGACACUACAGAUUCAACAACAGAAACCACAGCCUUCACUACUUCAAGCACUGGAUGCUGGUCUUGUCGUUCAGUUGCAAGCUUUAACAGCACAACUUACAGCUGCAGCUGCAGCAGCCAAUACUCUCAAUCCACUAGAACAAGGAGUCUCUUUUAAUAAGAAGUUGAUGGAUAGAUUUGAUUUUGGAGAAGAUUCUGAGCGAAGUGAAGAACCUAAAAAGGAAACUCCAUCUUCCCAGCUCCCUCAUGUUGCAGAUUCUGUAAACAACUCAAUUUUUCAUCAGUUAGCAGAACAACUACAACAACAAAAUCUUGAGCAUCUUCGACAGCAGCUUCUAGAACAGCAGCAACCUCAAAAGGUAACCACUCAAGAGAAUCCAGAAAGUACAUUUGGUUCAGAGCACUCUGCAUCACCAUCACAAGGAAGUAGCCAACAGCAGUUCCUUGAACCUGAGACAAACUUGGAUGAUUCUAUAGAUAUUCAGCAACAGGAUAUGGAGUUAGAUGAAGGUCAAGAUGUCGCUGAAGAAGAGAUCUUUGAGCAAGAAGAAAAGAAAGUGCCUAUUCGCUCUAGAUCAAGAACACAUUCAAGAUCUCGUUCAAGAUCACCAAGAAAACGAAGGUCCAGGUCACGGUCUGGUUCUCGAAAGCGCAAACACAGAAAGCGAUCACGCUCACGGUCAAGAGAAAGAAAAAGAAAAUCUUCCCGCUCCUACUCUAGUGAAAGAAGAGCUAGGGAAAGGGAGAAAGAGAGACAGAAAAAAGGAUUGCCUCCAAUCCGAUCUAAAACAUUAAGUGUCUGUAGUACCACUCUCUGGGUUGGUCAAGUAGAUAAGAAAGCUACACAGCAAGAUUUAACCAAUCUUUUUGAAGAAUUUGGACAGAUUGAAUCCAUCAAUAUGAUUCCUCCGAGAGGCUGUGCCUAUGUCUGUAUGGUUCAUCGACAGGAUUCCUAUCGGGCACUUCAGAAACUUAGUUCUGGAUCUUAUAAAAUUGGAUCCAAAGUUAUAAAGAUUGCUUGGGCUUUAAAUAAAGGUGUCAAAACGGAGUACAAACAGUUCUGGGAUGUAGAUCUUGGAGUUACUUACAUACCGUGGGAGAAAGUAAAGGUAGAUGACCUAGACGGCUUUGCUGAAGGAGGCAUGAUUGAUCAGGAGACUGUAAAUAGCGAAUGGGAAACUGUGAAGAGUUCAGAGCCUGUCAAAGAACCUGUCCAAACUGUAGAGAGUCCAACAACAGUUGAAAAGACACCAGUAGUGACUACACAGGCUGAAGUUUAUCCUCCACCUGUUGCUAUGUUGCCGAUUCCAGUAGCACCUGCUGUACCUACUGUUAGUUUAGUUCCACCAACAUUUCCAGUGUCAAUGUCCGUUCCUCCUCCAGGAUUUAGUGCAAUUCCUCCACCUCCUUUCUUGCGAGCAAGUUUCAACCCAUCACAACCACCUCCUGGUUUCAUGCCACCACCAGUUCCACCACCUGUUGUACCACCCCCUGCUAUUCCUCCAGUAGUGGCAACAUCUCUGGUACAGCCUCCAAUAUCCAUGACUCCAGAGACAAUGAAAGAUGUUGCUUUUAGUAACCUUGUUUUGCCAGUUGGCUCUGUGUCUAGCAGUCUUGCUACUUCAACCAUGUCAGCUGGAAGUGUUUUUAAUCCACCAAGUAACCAGCCAGAGUCAGAAGAAAAAUUGUCACACCUCACAGACCACCAGCUUUCUUCUAGUGAAAGUACCAGACCAGUGAUCCACAAUGAUGUCUCAAGUAGCUCUGGAAUUCUAGGUGGGCAGCCACCAAAUUUGUCAAGCAAUUCUGGAAUUCUAGGUGGACAGCCACCAAAUGUAUCAAGCAAUUCUGGAAUUCUGGGAGUACAGCCAUCUAAUGUUUCCAGUAGUUCUGGAAUUAUUGGAGCACAGCCACCAAAUAUUCCAAGUAGUUCUGGAAUUCUGGGACCACAACUACCCAAUGUGUCAGGUAGUUCUGGACUCUUGGGGGUACCACCCCCAAAUAUUCCUAGCAAUUCUGGACUCCUGGGAGUUCAGCCACCAAAUGUUCCAAGUAAUUCUGGAAUUCUGGGACCACAGCCACCAACUGGGCCUCAAAACUUACCCCCAUUAAAUAUUCCUGGUCAGAGAAUGCCUGGAAUACCAAUGUUAGAUAUUCGUCCAGGACUUAUACCACAAUCUCCUGGGCCAAGAUUCCCUUUAAUGCAGCCUGGACUUCCACCGCAAAGAGGACUCCCUCCUCCAGCAAUCCUUGAUGCCUCUCUUCAUCCUCCACCUCGUGGUCCUUUUGCUCCAGGAGAUAUUUUCGGUCAGGCAGAGAGACCUUUUCCAGCUCCUUUAAGACCAAAUAUAGAUCAUCUUCCUAAUCCAGAAAAAAGGCUACCCCUUGGGAAUGAUAGUAUUCAGCAGGAAGGAGAUAGAGAUUAUCGUUUUCCUCCUAUAGAAAACAGGGAGACCAUUAGUAGACCUUCACCAGUGGAUGUUAGGGACGUAGUGGGGCGACCUGUAGAUCCAAGAGAAGGUCCAGGAAGGCCUCCAAUAGAUGGAAGGGAACACUUUGGAAGACCACAUAUAGAUAUAAGAGAAAAUCUUGUAAGACCAGGUAUAGAUAACCUUGGUCGAAGAGACCACUUUGGUUUUAAUUCAGAUAAGCCUUGGGGCCAUAGAGAUUUUGAUGAAAGAGAGCAUCGUGUUUUACCUCUCUAUGGUGGGCCCAAAGGCUUCCAUGAAGACAGAGGUAGAUUUAGACAUGGAAAUUAUAGGUUUGAUCCUAGAAGUGGUCCCAUUUGGAACAGAGGAUUUGGACAGGAUGCUCACAGAGAUUUUGAUGACCGCAGAAGACCCUGGGAGAGACAAAGGGAUAGAGAUGACAGAGAUUUUGAUUUCUGCCGAGAAAUUAAUGGAAAUCGUUUUGGAAGAGACAGAAUUCAGAACACCUGGGUCCCACAUCCACAUCCCCGAGUUUUUGACUAUUUUGAAGGGGCCACUUCUCAACGAAAAGCUGAUAAUGUACCCCAGGUAAAUGGUGAAAAUACAGAGACAGAUAAUCAACCACCACCUUUACAAGUACAGAAUGAUCCUGAACUUUAUGAAAAACUGACAUCUUCAAGUGAAAUAAACAAAGAGAAGAAUGACACAGAAGCUGAUAUAGAAAGUGAACCAGUGGUAGAAAGCACAGAAACUGAGGGGACAUAAUCAUCACUCAGUAGGUCUGUAUGAGUCAGGAGAUAAUGGAGCAGUCUAGCAGAAUACGGAGCCUUUCAUCUUCAGCUAACCAAUUUAAGUGGAGAAAGAUGGCAGAACAGGAGUCGUGAAGAAGACCCUAGGUGAGGAAAGCCCAGAGGAGAGUGACUUAAAAACAAAGAAAAACAACUGAAAAAAGGCUACCAAAAAACCAGUAGCCUUGGAGCUUGACUCCCAGGCUCCUCUGCUCGCAGCUUAAGCUCAUAGGCAAAUACUGACCAGAGAAUAUGAAACCAGAUGAAGACAAUGCAAAGAAGAACUUAGACAUUCUGCUGCCGGGGCUGUUGCUGGAGCUGGCCUUUUCCCCAAAGGACGCUUCAGCCAGGACUGAGCAUGAUGAGGAUGAAUUACUUUUGCAGCCUUCCAACCGAAGUACAAAAUUCAUGGGCAACCUGGGCACAGACUACAAAGGAGUUUCUCCACCUUAGUUCUUCUACAUGAUCAAAGAACUGUAAUGUUUAAUAUUUAAACUAUAUUUUUCCAUGUUUACACAGCCUGGCAGCCACUGUAAACAUUAUAAUUAUGCUCAGAGUCCAAAAGUCAUUUCACAGUAAGCAUUUAAAGCCCAGUAUGUGUGAGAGGCCUGAAAAGCAGCUUUCCACAAGGAGGCCCUCUCUCUCGGACUAUGUACCAGUUGAGGGUUACCCAUGUACUAAUCAUGUAUUGUGUAUCAUUUUCAUAAACCAUGCAAUCCACUCUCAGGUAAUUGUCAAAAGCAAAAUGUUGUCGCUGCUGUCUUAAUGAAUAUUAUUUCCAGAUUUUGCUCUUUGGUCCUUCUCAUUUUUUCCUCCCAAAGUAGAACCAAAUCUCUUACACUGUAGGUAUUUAACAGAAAGAGAGGUAGAGAGGGACAAUUAUGUGAAAUAGAAGAGAGGGCGCAAGACUCUGAGUCGGGAAGACCUGAAUUCAGAUCCUGCCUCAGAUACUUACUAGCUGCGUGACUCUGAGCAAGUUCCCUAAUUUCAUUGUGCCUCCGUGUCUUCAUUUCUAAAACCUCAGAGGACUGUUGUGAGGAUCAAAUAUAUUAACAUACGUAAAGCACUUUUCAAACCUUAAAGGAGUAUAUAAAUGCUAUCAUGUUAUUAUUAUAGAUUACUAUUAUAUUAUUACGUAUAGAUUGAGUGAGAGACUGAAGGUCGAUGCCCCCCAGAACAUUUUGACAGGAUUAUAGACUAAGAGGCAAAAGUGACUUCAAAGGUUAUCUGCUCCAAUCUGCUUAUUGUAAAAUGAUGAUAAUUAGUAUUUAUAGAGCCCGUUAAGGUUUGAAAAUGCUUUACCUCUGUUCUCUCAUUCGAGGAGAAACGGACACAAUGGAAUCACUGAGUCCCAGAAAAAGAAAGAAAUUUGUCCAAGACAGUAUCUAAAGCAGGAUUUGGACCCAGAUACUCCAAUUCCGGUUCAUUAUCUCUGAAUCCAGAAUACCAGAACAUCUCGGUAGCUGAAUUGGGGAAUGUUACAGCCUCAGUAGGGUUAGCACAAGUUUAAACUUAUAACAUGUUUCUAAAAAAGCAAACCUCUAAUGGCCAUAACAAUAAAA